AAGUCUGGUGCCAGCAGCCGCGGUAAUUCCAGCUCCAAUAGCGUAUAUUAAAGUUGUUGCAGUUAAAAAGCUCGUAGUUGAAUUUCGGGAUCAAUAUUUCGGUCAUGCCGUUGGUAUGCACUGUUAUCAUUGAUUUCUCACCUUCUAAAGAACCGUGAUGCCAUUAAUUUGGUGUUACGGGGAAUUAGGACUGUUACCUUGAAAAAAUUAGAGUGUUUAAAGCAGGCUCACGCUUGAAUACAUUAGCAUGGAAUAAUGAAAUAGGACAUCCGAUUCUAUUUUGUUGGUUUCUAGGAUCGAUGUAAUGAUUAAUAGGGAUAGUUGGGGGCAUUAGUAUUCAAUUGUCAGAGGUGAAAUUCUUGGAUUUAUUGAAGACUAACUACUGCGAAAGCAUUUGCCAAGGAUGUUUUCAUUAAUCAAGAACGAAAGUUAGGGGAUCGAAGACGAUCAGAUACCGUCGUAGUC
rnacentral:rRNA from 1 species